rnacentral:snRNA from 1 species
GUGCUCGCUUUGGCAGCACAUAUACUAAAACUGGGAUGAUACAGAGAAGAUUAGCAUGGCCCCUGCGUAAAAAAAAAAAAAAAAAAGGAGAGAGAGAUAGGCAGGUGCCAUAAGUCU